UACGUAGGGUGCAAGCGUUUAAUCGGAAUUACUGGGCGUAAAGCGUGCGCAGGCGGUUGUGCAAGACAGAUGUGAAAUCCCCGGGCUCAACCUGGGAAUUGCAUUUGUGACUGCACGGCUAGAGUGUGUCAGAGGGGGGGUAGAAUUCCACGUGUAGCAGUGAAAUGCGUAGAGAUGUGGAGGAAUACCGAUGGCGAAGGCAGCCCCCCUGGGAUAACACUGACGCUCAUGCACGAAAGCGUGGGGGAGCAAACAGG
rnacentral:rRNA from 1 species